UACGGAGGGUGCAAGCGUUAUCCGGAUUCACUGGGUUUAAAGGGUGCGUAGGCGGGCAGGUAAGUCAGUGGUGAAAUCUCCGGGCUUAACCCGGAAACUGCCGUUGAUACUAUCUGUCUUGAAUAUCGUGGAGGUAAGCGGAAUAUGUCAUGUAGCGGUGAAAUGCUUAGAUAUGACAUAGAGCACCCAUUGCGAAGGCAGCUUACUACACGAUCAUUGACGCUGAGGCACGAAAGCGUGGGGAGCAAACAGG
rnacentral:rRNA from 1 species